GAUGAACGCUAGCGGGAGGCUUAACACAUGCAAGUCGUGGGGCAGCACAGUCCGCCGUAAGGCGGAUGGGUGGCGACCGGCGCACGGGUGAGUAACGCGUAUGCAACCUGCCCUGUACAGGGGGAUAGCCCGGAGAAAUUCGGAUUAAUACCCCAUAAAGAUAUUUAGAGGCAUCUUUGAAUAUUUAAAGCUUCGGCGGUACGGGAUGGGCAUGCGUGACAUUAGCUAGUUGGUAGGGUAACGGCCUACCAAGGCUGCGAUGUCUAGGGGUCCUGAGAGGGUGAUCCCCCACACUGUUACUGAGACACGGACCAGACUCCUACGGGAGGCAGCAGUGAGGAAUAUUGGUCAAUGGGCGUAAGCCUGAACCAGCCAUCCCGCGUGCAGGAAGAAGGCGCUAUGCGUUGUAAACUGCUUUUGUAGAGGAAGAAAACCCCCGACGUGUCGGGGCUUGCCGGUACUCUGUGAAUAAGCAUCGGCUAACUCCGUGCCAGCAGCCGCCGUAACAC
rnacentral:rRNA from 1 species